AUGACGCUCACUACAGCACUCAUAGUCACAGCUCUGUGCUGCACUGGUGUUUUGAGUAUGACCCUGACUGAGUCUGAGCCAGCGACCAUCAGUCCUGGAGGAUCUCACAAGCUGACCUGCACAGCUGCUGGAUUCACAUUCAGUAACUACUAUAUGGCCUGGGUCAGGCAGGCUCCUGGGAAAGGGCUGGAAUGGCUGGCAUACAUCUCCUCUGGCAGUAGUUACAUAUACUACUCCCAAAAUAUCCAGGGGAGGUUCACCAUCUCCAGAGACAACAGCAAGAGUCAGGUGUAUCUGCAGAUGAACAGUCUGAAGGCUGAAGACACGGCUGUGUAUUACUGUGCCCGACAGACACAGUGA